CGCUGUGCUCCCUGGGGCCAGGCACCUCUCGUCUCUGGGCCUCAGUUUCCUCAUAAUGGGCACAGACAUCCCCGAGUCACGGUCUGGUCGUGCACAGCGAGGGCUGAAGAUGGGCAGUGCCCCUUUGGACAAGGAGAUGAAGGGAGGGGUGAGGCAUCCUGAGAAUUCCUAGUGGGAGCGUUGGGCUGGGUUGGACAGAAGUCUGUGAGAGGAGACCGGAGGGCCCGAGGCACGAGGCAGGAGCAUGGAGCAGAGGCAGGGAGAGCCCUAGACGCCUUUGACCCCCACUCUGCACUCAAACCAGGUCAAGGGACCCAGGAACUGGGCUCCACUGUGCAGUCACUGGACCUACUCAGCCACUGCGUGAGCCAUGGCGAGUCUUCCUGGAGCAUCCACCCAGGCAGAGACUUAGGGGGAGAAACUUUAGAAAAAAUGGGGAGGAGUAAAGCCGAUAUAUGAAAAAGAAGGACGCAAAUCUGUAUGAAUUUUUAAGAUAAAAUAAGGAACUUCAGAAACAUUUCGGCUAGUUUUGGGGCCACUACGAGCCAUGCCCUCAGAUGCCUAGCAGACCUUCCUCCAGCUCCUCAGCCAUUGGGGUUCACUGGAGGAGACUCAGGAUGCCUCUACUUGAAGCUCUCUGGAGACGGUGCGCUCACUCCCUUACUCCAUCCGUCUCUGCUCUCACUACACGCUGUCUCCAGGACAGCUGCUAGCCUGGAGCUCGGGGCUCUCAGGAGACAGUGGCAGGGCUUCAGAUCCCUGAGUCUCUGAGAUCACGCUGUUUCACUCACAACCUUGCAGAUAAGAUAAGAAAGUGGCAGUCACUGUUGGAGUCCAGGCUGCAGAGCCACACAGACCCAACAGCGUGCAGUGUGUAAACAUGGGCAAGUGGUCUCACCUCUCUGAGCCUCAGUUUCCCCAUCUGGAGAAUGCCCACCUUGAAAAUUUGCAAAGAGAGACAAAGGUCGUCAUGGAAUGGGGCUUCACGGUGUUCGUGUGGCCCGCGUCACACAGCAGCGGCCACUUCCAUCUCCUCCCAGAAGCCCUGCUUCCUCCCUCCUCUCCCAUUCUCCUGCGUGAGUGAGGGUGAGAACCUCUGCUCCCUGUUCUUCUCUGCCCCUGGCCUCGCUCUGACCUGUCCCAAUCCGGGAGACUGCUGGAGCUGUGGUUCCCAUCCCUCCCCGGGAUAGAGACCUUGGAGGCGCAAACUCCUGCUCUGGCAGGACACCUCCCUUCUGCUUGAACACCUCCUACUCUCACAAGAUAUCUCCUUUCAAGCUCAGACAGCCACAGCUGUUUUAACAACUGGUGCCAUUCACCAGGCACUUUAUAUACACAACGUCUUGUGAUCCUCACAGCUGCAGGUAGUCUUAGCUCCAUUUCACAGGUGAGGAUACUGAGGCUCAGAAGGGAGCAGUGUCUGUAAGUUCAGCUGGCAAGAAAGGUGAAGCUCUGAGAUGAGAAUUCGGGUCUGGCCACCAAUCCAGGGGGUAUCCUCUUCAAGUCAGAAGGCAAAGCAGCACCACUUUGUUUGGAAGAAGACUUCGAGCCUUUUGGGGUGUCACUGCUGCCCAGGCCCGCGGUCAUGGCUUAUCCCCAGUUCCCCUGCUUUUCCCCAUCACCAGAGUCUCCUGCUUCUCCUGGUCUAGGUCGUUGGAUGUCGAAGUUGGAAAAAUUCCAGCUUUGGGAAUUUUGAGAUGAUAAAAUUCAGCUGGGUGAGCAGCCCUCUGAAUCGAAGGCUCCCCUUGGCUCCCUCCUCUGCCUGGCACACCUAGCAGUGGCACUUAACUCCCUGCGGAGAGAGACCCAAGGGGGCAGCAUUCUCUGGUGGUUAGAAACAGGGUGUUGGUGCCAGACGUCAUGGGUUUAAAUCUCAACUCUGAAUCUGAGAGAUUUGUAUUUGUGACUUUGUCACCUUUUCUUUAAGGGGGCCCUAGGGUAAGUGACUUCACCCUAAAAUGGAAAGAAAAAGGCCUCUCCUGGCCUGGAGGCUUCACAGAAGGGAAAUUGGUUUCUAAGCGUUCGUCCCUUCUUCACGCAUGGUCUCAUUUAAGCAUCAUGACAGCUGACAAGUAGGUACUAUUAUUACUCCCAUUUUAUAAAUGAAAAAACCGAGGUGAAGGAGUCUUCUAAAGGUCACAUGGCCUUACAGGGGCUUGAACUCCAGCCCCAUGUACCUCCAAGUCAGACGCACUUACAUUGCCCCAGAGAGGUGCCCCUUCCUUUUCUCCUAGGAAUUAGUCCCUACCACCCCAGCCCACAGGGUUAGAGGUCCUAAUCAGGACUAGAUGGGACUGGGAGGUUUGGCCCUGCCCAGCUAUGGUGCAGCCCCCAAAUGCCAGACUGUCCUUGCUCUUGGGUUGGGCUCACAGCUGCCUGGACAUGCAAGGGGUGGGGACCAGCGCAGCAGGGCCUCCUCCAGGCAGUUCCCCGCGCCGUGCUAGGCCACCCUAUCUCCUGUAGCUAUGGUGGUGUCUGCCCUCUCCUGUAAGUGGGGUGUAAGCCUUUUCAGGGGCCUGCAGAGUGGGGCCAGAAAACCAAGAAGCUAGACUUGAGCGUCUCACUUGCCUGCGUCCCUUCCAAGGCCCUGGAAGACGGGCGUCAGCAAAUUUGUAUUUGUGACUUCGUCAUCUUUUCUUUAAGGGGGCCUCAAUAUUAUAUAAGCAUCAGGCUUCACAAAACCUAGCUCUGUCCCCAGGUCGGGGGCAGUGGAAAGAGUUUCGCAGUCCACCCCACUUGCUCUGUGCUGGCUGACUUUCGGCGAGUCCCCCCACUUUCCCAUCUAUACAGUGGUGAUGAAGCCUGGAGAGUCACAGGGUUACGGCGGGGGGCAAUGAGGAGCUUGGGGUAGCCACCCUUUAUCAAAUGCCCAAAGCCACAGAGGCCCUUCACCAGCCGGCGCUAGUUCCACCUUAGGCAACCCUGUAGGGUAACUGGAGGCUCCCACCCCUAUUUUCCAGGUGAGAUAACUGAGGUUUGGAACUGAAUGAGCACGCUGGAGCCCAUCCCCCACUGCUUCCUGAGUUCUCAGCCGGGGCUGCAGCGCCCUAAGCUGAGAGCUGGGGACGCCAGACAGACCUCGGCUCCGGUAGUAGGAGACAGGGGGUGCGGGGGCGGGCUCCUCGGAGGCCGUGGGAGGAGGCAGCGUCCCGCACCGUCUCACCGCAGGGCCGACCUCGGCCCUUAUCUGCUCCGGCAGCUUCCGCCCCCGACCCGAGCCCCGCCGCAGGCCUGGCCCCCGCCCCCGCCUCCGGAGGGCCCGCCCAGAGCGCCCCUCCCCCACGGCCGCUGCCCCCAGGGAGCGCCGACUGCCGCGCGCUGUGUGUGCCCAGCGGAGCAGAGAGGGGCCCGGCCCCCAGGCCCAAUGCCUUGGGCGUCUUUGGCGUCCUACAGGUGUAGGAGGGAAGAGAGAAGUGGAGACACCUUAGAGAAAGUGAAAAGCAAGCCACAAACUGGAGGAGACGUCUGCCGCGGACGACCCAAAGGAUAAGCAUCGACAAUACAAAGGGAAACACAUUUGUUCGAUGCACAUCUAAGGGAUGCUCAAGCUCGUUGGUGAUGAGAGAAAUGCAAAUGAAGACCUCAAUGAGAUGCUAUUUACACCAUUCUAAGAGCAAAAAUUAACAAGCUUGACAGCACCAAGUGUUGGAGAAGAGGUGGAGCCACGGACUCUCCAGCGUGUUACCAGAAUGCAACCGAUGUAACUGCGGGCUGGUGGCAGGGAUGACAGCACACGCAAUCACCCUUAUCUUAUAAAGCUCCGGCCGGGCAUAUCCCCUCUCGGCAUAACAUCAAGAGAAACUUUGGCAUGUGCUCCAAAAGACUUGGACGAGAACGUUCAAAGCUGCACUGUUCUUAACAGCAAAAAUCUGGAAACAACUCAAAUGCCCAUGGAAAAGAGAAUGGGUAAAUAAAUUACAGUAGAUUCAUUCACACGGCGGCACGUCAUUCAGCGGUGCAAGCGAAUGAACCAGUUUCACACGAUAUCAUGAAUGAAUCUUAGUACCAUAUUGUUGAAUGAAAAAGCCAGUCCCAGAAAAUAAAUACCUUUCCUGCAACGUGUGAAAGCCAAACCAUAUCUCUACAAAUAAUACUUUUGUUAUUAGGUGAUGUUAGGAUUACCCACCCAAAAGAGUCAAAAGUAUACUCAAGACUCAGGAGUAACACUGAGAAGUUACGACCAGUAAGAAAAUGUAGUUGGCGCUUGUGUACUGUCAACAGGUCGUUCAAAAUGUAAUGGGAAAUAUCCUGUUCAACAUAGCUGCAAAAAUGUAAAAUUCCUGGAAGUAAACUUUUUAACACCUAUGAAGGACCUAUAGGAAAACAAUUAUAAAGAUCACUGAGUAAUAUAAAAGAAAACCUUAAAACAGCUUUUUCCCUUAUUAAAAGCCAAAUCAGAAUAUUGUUUAGACAUAUAAAUGUAUGUAUGUGAAAACUUUAUUUUAAAAAAAGGACUGAUCAAAAAAUUCAAGUUCCCCCAAGAAGGAGGCAGGGCGAUGGGAUGGGGCAGGGUAACAAGUAAGUGGAUAUAUCGGUGAACACACAAAUGAAAUAAAAGAGGGCCCUGCAAAGGCUCAAAUGACAAUGCCUAACGCACAGGAUUUCACCCCAAUUUGCGCUCCUGAGGUUGGAGUGAAGAAAGGGAGACAUUAAACUUAUUCAGACAGACUUUUAUUCAGGGUACAAACAAGCUUGUCUUUCUUUCCAGAAACCCAAAGUGAGUGGCAGGUGGGGGUGGGGAGGCCUGUGUAUACGUAGGACAAGACUAAGCACCCAGAAGACACACAACACUAGGGGCUCCCAGGCUGGACAGAUCCAGAAGGCUUCAGGGAGGAGGCGGCCUUGUAAACAGACUGGAUUUCGAUCCACAGAGAUGGUGGAAGGGAAAGAACAGGCCAGGCCUGCCAGGGGUGGGCUGGAGGUUACAAAGCGGGUCAGAAAGGCAGAGAGGCCAGACAAAAAAUAAUGAAGCAUGGCUGUACACGGGCUGCCCAUGGAAGAGUUGCUGGGUGGUGAGGGAAGAGGCCCUGUGGAGUUAUGGGACAUUAUCUGGCCAGGCCUCAGGAUUCGGAGAAGAAAGCACCCAGCAACUCACAGAGGAGCUAAGGCUGCUCUGGAAAGAACAACAUGAGAGAGGGUUAGGGUCAGGGGUUCCAGCAGGCCAGGUCUUCUGGAGGAGAAGCAGGCCUUGGCUGAGCACAAGGCUCUGCCUCUUUUCAUCUGUGACCUGUGUGACCUGAGCCUCAGAUGCCUUUCUACAAGAGAUUGCUACCUGCCUGCACAGACCCCCACAGAAAGCCCUCAAAAGAAGGCCACGCCCCAGAAGCAGAACCUCUAGCCCUGUACUGCCAGAAGUGGAGGAAAGUUGGCAGAGCAUCGGCAAUGCCAGUCAAUGCCAGGCCAUGCUGGCCUCUCAGGCACCACCUGGUCAGCGGGCCCGGGCAGUCCUAUGUUCCGAAAAUAAAAGGCUGAGACCGUGUUGCUAAUAAAGGCCCCAGUAAAGGUACCAGAAGCAGGAACAACGUAUUGAAGUCAGACCCUGGGCAACCCAGUGGAGUCAGAGAAAUGGGUCUGCAGUGCCCCAGCCACUCAGAGCCAAGCAGUGUCCAGGCCCAUCCUCCCCUGUUGAAGUGCAUCUGUCCCUGAGGCCUCCAAACUGACUGAUGGAUGUUGGAAAACACUCAACUGUGCUCAGCAAGGAGAGGAGAAAGGGUGGCCCCCUACCCUAUGUCAUUAAUUUAUCUGUUCUUUUCAUUGAUGUAACAUUUUCUUUAUACUAAUGUAUCUACACAUGUAAAUAAUAAUAUCUAACCCUUAAAUAGACCUUCCCAAAUGCCAGACAUAGUCCUAAGUGCCUUUAUGUAUAUUCAUUCAUUUAAUCUUCACAACAAUCCAAUACAGUAAUCCAUUUUAGAGAUGAGGAAACGGUCAUAGGGAGUUAUAUAAUUUGUCCGAAGAAGUCUAAUACCAGAAUCUGGUUUGUCUUAACCAUCAAGCUAGGAGGCCAUUACAUAUAUAUCCAUAUGCGUUAUUCAUGCGCUGCAGAAUAACGUUUUGGUCAACGAGGGACUGCAUACUCGAUGGUGGUAUACCAUGUAACUUAGGCAUAUAUAGUAGGCUAUGCCCUCCAGGUUUGUGUAAGUGCACUCUAUGAUGUUCAAAUGACAAAACCACCUAAUGACACGUUUCUUAGAACAUAUCUCCAUCUUUAAGUGGUGCAUGACUGUGUGUAUGUAUGUAUAUACAUAUGAGAUUUUAUCUCAUUUUUACAGAAUUGCAUAAAUGUGAUCAUAUAUAUGUUUUAACAUUUUCCUUUUAUACUUUCCCUCCUCCCACCACGGAAUCCAUUUUAUCACCCUAAUAUGUGAUCUUCUAUAUUUUUAUUUACCCACAUUUAUACAUGGACUUACAUAUACUGAUACCUCUAAUCGCAUGCACAUAUACAAGGUUCCUUUUUUGUCAUUGUUUUAAAAUAGUGGUUUAUAGUAAAUAAAUAUUUCUGCAUCUCUCAUGUCUCAUCUAUACCUGGAAAUUCCUGGGAGAUCUAAUUCACUGUUUUUAAUAGCCACACAUUCGUCCACCCACUGUGCCUUUCCAACUGGCUCUCCUGCUCUUGGUCAGUAAGAAUGCUCAUGGUCCCAUUCCCACCCCCAAAGCACUUGUUUCUUUAAUCCAUUUGAGAGUCUGAUGUUGGAAAUUCCAGGCCAGGUGAAAGGAAAGGCCAGUGAGAAGGUAGCAAGUGGCAUUUCUGGCUGAGUCUUGCCCACCCCCGGCUGGUGGCCCACAGCCCUCAGCCUCCAGAGACAGGAAUGCUGACUGUGUUAUUGUGAAAUCAUUUGUAUAUUGUGAAGUGCUUUGCAUAUGAUAGAGUGAUUUGCAUACAGGGCAGGGGGCAUCUUAGAGAUCCCGGAGCAGCAUUCCUGAGUGUCUUCCUCCCUUUGCAAAGAAACCAACCCAGGGCUUCCACUUCAGAACUCAGGGAGGGGCAUAUGAGGGCAUCCUGGCAGACCUACCGGACCGGUGGGGUGAGGUGACAGGGGCUUUCAGAGGAAAGCUGAUCCCACCUGGAAGGAGCUGGGGGGUCUAAGAAGGGCAAACAUUGGAAUGUGAAGUGGAACAGGCAAUCGGGUGCAGCAUAUGAGAGCCAAAUGAGUCCUCAGAGCCCCUACGAGAGAACAACUCAGGACAGAUGAAGGGAGCUGUCAUGGGAGGCAGAUGAAUGUCAGAAGCUUGGAGAACAACUCAUCACUCUUUCUGCCCAAGCGAGUACCCACAGGCCCCUUCCUGAAUAUUCUACAGUUCCAGUUAU